GCUCUAUUAGUGUAGUGGUCUAGCACGUGAGAUUUUGAUUACAUCCUAUCUCCGAUAGCAUCGAUCUUCUCAAGUCCCAGGUUCGAACCCUGGAUGGAGCU
rnacentral:tRNA from 1 species